UGAUAUUUCCUACCCCACCCUCUCUCCCUCCCUCCUUUUGUUCCUUCCUCCUCUUUCUUAUCUUACUUUUCUCCUGAUUUUUAGAAUGACAAACUUUCAAUUUACUUUAUAAUCACUAGUAUAAAGUAAAUGCAAAUAUGAGCAAAAUUGGUAUUUUGAGAUUUGGCUAGUGUUUAUAGCCCUCGUCUGUAUUCUUGAGGAACAGUGGUUUUUUUUUUUUACUUACUAUUUAUGGAAUUCUUUAUUUUUAGGGGGUUAAGCUUGUGAAUUUUUUAAAAGAUUAAUUUUAUUUACUUGAAAGGCAGAAUGACAGAGAGAGAGUGAGAGACAGAGAGAAAAGUAUAUCUUCCAUCUGCUGGUUCACUCCUGAAAUAGCUGCAACAGCCAGGAAUGGGCCCAGCAGAAGUCGGUAGCCUGGAACUCCUCCAGGGUCUUGCUCAUGGGUGGUAGGCUCUUAAGUACUUGGGUCAUUAUUCACUGCAUUCCCAGGUGAAUUUGUUGGGAGCUAGAUCAGAAAUGGAGAGCCCUCCCCACUGACGGCCUCCCUGCCACUGCCGCCCCUCCCUGACUGGGUCCACCUGACCUCUCUGAUUUGGGAUGCCAGAAUCGCAGACUGCAGCUUAACCUACCAUGUCAUUACAACAGCCAGGAUUUCAUAUUUUUUCCAUAAUUUCCAAGGUAUUCAUGUGUGUUAUAUAAGGAAAAAAAGUAUAAAGGAGUUCAGUCAACAAAGCAGUAUUUAAUUAUUACAUACUGUGAUAUGAUAUGUUUUGUUUAAAGACAUUUUUAAGACUUUAAAGACUAGAUUUCAAGUCUAAUACGAUACUAGAAAAUACAUUGGGUAUAAGAAAGACACUAGCAGCCAGAAAUUGAAAUUAACCAAAAAUGAAAGAAAGAAAGAAAGAAAGAAAGAAAGAAAGAAAGAAAGAAAGAAAGAAAGAAAGAAAGAAAGAAAAAGAAAAAAUAUAUGGAUCCCUUUUAAUGUAUUUUUACAACAGUGGAGGAUAUUUUAUAUCAAUUCUUGCUAACAACUCUGGCAAAAUUAACUGAUCAGAAUAUGACAGCCCAAUUGGACAACUUGUGAAUAUGGAGAAAAUUUUAAAUUUAUGUGGAUCUCCCAAGAGGAAUUUAAAGGUUUUUUUUUUAAGUUUCUUUCCAUUUACACUGUGUUUUUUU
rnacentral:lncRNA from 1 species